ACCAGGGGUCACCAACAAGAGCCAGGUCAGUCCACACACAUACAGUAUACCAGGGGUCACCAACAAGAGCCAGGUCAGUCCACACACAUACAGUAUACCAGGGGUCACCAACAAGAGCCAGGUCAGUCCACACACAUACAGUAUACCAGGGGUCACCAACAAGAGCCAGGUCAGUCCACCCACAUACAGUAUACCAGGGGUCACCAACAAGAGCCAGGUCAGUCCACCCACAUACAGUAUACCAGGGGUCACCAACAAGAGCCAGGUCAGUCCACACACAUACAGUAUACCAGGGGUCACCAACAAGAGCCAGGUCAGUCCACCCACAUACAGUAUACCAGGGGUCACCAACAAGAGCCAGGUCAGUCCACACACAUACAGUAUACCAGGGGUCACCAACAAGAGCCAGGUCAGUCCACCCACAUACAGUAUACCAGGGGUCACCAACAAGAGCCAGGUCAGUCCACACACAUACAGUAUACCAGGGGUCACCAACAAGAGCCAGGUCAGUCCACACACAUACAGUAUACCAGGGGUCACCAACAAGAGCCAGGUCAGUCCACACACAUACAGUAUACCAGGGGUCACCAACAAGAGCCAGGUCAGUCCACCCACAUACAGUAUACCAGGGGUCACCAACAAGAGCCAGGUCAGUCCACCCACAUACAGUAUACCAGGGGUCACCAACAAGAGCCAGGUCAGUCCACACACAUACAGUAUA